rnacentral:rRNA from 1 species
UGAGGAAUAUUGGUCAAUGGGGCGGAAGCCUGAACCAGCCAUGCCGCGUGAAGGAAGAAGGUCCUAUGGAUUUUAAACUUCUUUUGUCGGAGAGCAAUAAGGGUCUCGCGAGAUCCGAUGAGAGUAUCCGACGAAUAAGCAUCGGCUAACUCCGUGCCAGCAGCCGCGGUAAUACGGGGGAUGCGAGCGUUAUCCGGAUUUAUUGGGUUUAAAGGGUGCGUAGGCGGUCCGGUAAGUCAGCCGUGAAAAGCCCCCGCUCAACGGGGGUCGUGCGUUUGAUACUGUUGGACUGGAAUGCGGAUGCCGUGGGAGGAAUGUGUGGUGUAGCGGUGAAAUGCAUAGAUAUCAGGAGGAACACCAGUGGCGAAGGCGGCUUUCUGGACUGUAACUGAC